UGAACCUGUGAAAGGAUCAUUGCCGAGACCCA
rnacentral:rRNA from 1 species